rnacentral:lncRNA from 1 species
ACUCACUGGAAAGCGCCUGGCUCUUUUUCCCUUCCCGAGGCUACUCUGCAGACAAGACUAGGGCAGGGCUACUGCCAGCAGGUGCUCCGCUGAGCCCCAGUGUCCUCAUCGUGAGGGAGGGAGCGACCCGAGGCCCAGGCAGGAUCGGGGCAUCAGAAGCCAAGAGAGUAGGAAGCAAAGCCGGCUCGCCAGGGCUCUAUUGCCCUCACACAGUAAGAACUCUGGACACUUGCUAGUUCUGCUCUGCUACUGGUAAUGCCAACUUGGACUGGGCUCUCCGAGCUUUCUGUCUCCGCCAUCUUGCCUCGUGGUGGUAAGAUGGUGGCCUCAGCGCCGUGGGAAAUGCGAGGGUCUCCUAGGAAACCCCCUGUUGUGGUGUCUCAUUGGCCAGAGGCAGGUCACAUGACUAUCCUGGCAGCAAAGGAUGCUGGGAAUGGAACGCCUGCCCCUGUUUAUCCAGCGUCUACCGCAGAGCCAGGUGAGGUGGUGGGCGUGUGGGGGUGGGAGCGGGCCUGGGGUCGCCCGCGGGAGCCGCAGCCAGGGGGGAAAGUCACGGUCUUGAGACGCCGGUGCCAAGGGCAGAGAAAUGCUUACUCAAUAAGCAGUUAGAUUGAUUUGCUUUGACAUUCUGGGCCUGAAACCAGAGAUGCAGAGAUAAAAGCCACUCCCUGGCCGACCAGAGUGAGGGGGAGAAUAAUAAUAGUAAUAAUAGCAAUACGGAAGCCAAAACUCAGCGAGCACGUACCCUGUGCCAGGCGCUGGGCACUUUCCAGACUUGAUUUAUUGCAUGCCCACGGAACUCCAAAUGACAGUGCCGGGGAGGAAGCUGGGGCCCACGGAGCCCGGGCCUGUGCCCCAGGCUGACUGCAGUGGGCUGGAUGCCAGAGCCCCGCAGCGGGCAAGGGCGUCGGCUUCUCUGGGGAGGAAGUGGGAGGCCCCCCAGAGGCAGGGAGACUUAAGUAGGGUCCAGAAGCAGGCAUCGGAGUUCCCCAGCCAGACAUGGCCCGCCAGGUGCCCCAGGUUUCAAAUGGGAUUCGAAGAAAACUUUGAAUGUGACGUUCUCACACAUCCACAUUCGCGGGAAAAAUCGCCUCUCAAGACAGAAGCAAGAAUGCCAAGGUUGCCGGUUCAAGUCCCAACUGCUCCACUUCCGAUCCAGCUCUGCUGUGGCCUGGGAAAGCAGAGGAUGGCCCAAGUCCUUGGGUCCCUGCACCUGCGUGGGAGAACCAGCAGAAGCUCCUGGCUCCUGGCUUUGGAUCAGCUCAGCUCUGGCUGCUGCGGUCAUCUGGGGAGUGAAGCAGCAGAUGUAAGACCUCUUUUUCUCUCUGGCUCUACCUCUCUCUGUGACUCUGUCUUUCAAAUAAAAUAAAAUAAAUAAAAAAAAAAGAAUGCUGAGGUUAAGAGC